UACAGAGGUCUCAACCGUUGUUCGGAUUCAUUGGGCGUAAAGGGUGCGUAGGCGGUCGUGCAAGUCGGAUGUGAAAUCUCAGGGCUCAACCCUGAAACUGCAUUCGAUACUGCGUGGCUAGAGUGCUGGAGAGGAGACUGGAAUUUACGGUGUAGCAGUGAAAUGCGUAGAGAUCGGAAAGAACACCAACGGCGAAAGCACUCUGCUGGGCCGACACUGACACUGAGAGACGAAAGCUAGGGGAGCGAACGGG
rnacentral:rRNA from 1 species